AUUGAACGCUGGCGGCAGGCCUAACACAUGCAAGUCGAACGAGGGGCGGACGGGUGAGUAAUGUCUGGGAAACUGCCUGAGGGAGGGGGAUAACUACUGGAAACGGUAGCUAAUACCGCAUACCAUCAGAUGUCCCCAGGUGGGAUUCGCUAGUUGGUGGGGUAACGGCUCACCAAGGCGACGCUCCCUAGCUGGUCUGAGAGGAGCACCAGCCACACUUGAAAUGAGACACGGGCCAGACUCCCACGGGAGGGAGCAGUGGGGAAUAUUUCACAAUGGGCGCAAGCCUGAUGCAGCCAUGCCGCGUGUAUGAAGAAGGCCUUCGGGUUGUAAAGUACUUUCAGCGGGGAGGCGUUACCCGCAGAAGAAGCACCGGCUAACUCCGUGCCAGCAGCCGCGGUAAUAAC
rnacentral:rRNA from 1 species